rnacentral:rRNA from 1 species
AUUGAACGCUGGCGGCAGGCUUGACACAUGCAAGUCGAGCGGGGUGAUGGUGCUUGCACUAUCACUUAGCGGCGGACGGGUGAGUAAUGCUUAGGAAUCUGCCUAUUAGUGGGGGACAACAUCUCGAAAGGGAUGCUAAUACCGCAUACGUCCUACGGGAGAAAGCAGGGGAUCACUUGUGACCUUGCGCUAAUAGAUGAGCCGAAGUCGGAUUAGCUAGUUGGUGGGGUAAAGGCCUACCAAGGCGACGAUCUGUAGCGGGUCUGAGAGGAUGAUCCGCCACACUGGGACUGAGACACGGCCCAGACUCCUACGGGAGGCAGCAGUGGGGAAUAUUGGACAAUGGGGGGAACCCUGAUCCAGCCAUGCCGCGUGUGUGAAGAAGGCCUUAUGGUUGUAAAGCACUUUAAGCGGGGAGGAGGCUCUUUUGGUUAAUACCCAAGAUGAGUGGACGUUACUCGCAGAAUAAGCACCGGCUAACUCUGUGCCAGCAGCCGCGGUAA